rnacentral:rRNA from 1 species
GAUGAACGCUGGCGGCGUGCCUAAUACAUGCAAGUCGAGCGAACAGACGAGGAGCUUGCUCCUCUGACGUUAGCGGCGGACAGGUGAGUAACACGUGGAUAACCUACCUAUAAGACUGGGAUAACUUCGGGAAACCGGAGCUCAUACCGGAUAAAAUAUUGAACCGCCUGGUUCAAUAGUGAAAGACGGUUUUGCUGUCACUUAUAGAUGGAUCCGCGCCGCAUUAGCUAGUUGGUAAGGUAACGGCUUACCAAGGCAACGAUGCGUAGCCGACCUGAGAGGGUGAUCGGCCACACUGGAACUGAGACACGGUCCAGACUCCUACGGGAGGCAGCAGUAGGGAAUCUUCCGCAAUGGGCGAAAGCUUGACGGAGCAACGCCGCGUGAUUGAUGAUGGUCUUCGGAUCGUAAAACUCUUUUAUUAGGGAAGAACAAAUGUGUAAGUAACUAUGCACGGCUUGACGGUACCUAAUCAGAAAGCCACGGCUAACUACGUG